rnacentral:lncRNA from 1 species
CACAGAGAAGCUUGGUGCCCGAAGAAGAAUGAGGGGAAACAAGAGCCUACGUGUGUGUCCCAUGGUAAACAAUGAGGCCGGAAGCAUCUAUCUGGAAUGCAGUCAAAACAACUGCCUGCUGAAAUGCUCGGUUCUACCAGGGUAAUACAUGUAUGGAUGACUUGAAACCCAGUGAAGGAUUCCAGGGAUGGGAGCGCCGGCCUCCAAGGACGUGAACUCACAGCUACCACCAUGGCCACACAGGGAUGAUGGAAGGAGGGAAAGCUGGCUACUAACAGACGGAUUAAACCAGUUGGAAUAUCAUUUCAGUUUGAAUGAAAACAGAUCUCCAUCCCUGACGCUGAAAUUUUGAGAAAUGCAAACUGGAGAGACCAUGUUGGUGUGACUUUGAUGGCUAAAGCGGAGAAAGAGGUAUUUGAGACGCCUUAGGAAACCUGCCUCUGUGCCGGGAAAGGGACUUGUGUGCG